rnacentral:rRNA from 1 species
CCUAACACAUGCAAGUCGAACGGUAACAGGAAAGCAGCUUGCUGCUUUGCUGACGAGUGGCGGACGGGUGAGUAAUGUCUGGGAAACUGCCUGAUGGAGGGGGAUAACUACUGGAAACGGUAGCUAAUACCGCAUAACGUCGCAAGACCAAAGAGGGGGACCUUCGGGCCUCUUGCCAUCGGAUGUGCCCAGAUGGGAUUAGCUUGUUGGUGGGGUAACGGCUCACCAAGGCGACGAUCCCUAGCUGGUCUGAGAGGAUGACCAGCCACACUGGAACUGAGACACGGUCCAGACUCCUACGGGAGGCAGCAGUGGGGAAUAUUGCACAAUGGGCGCAAGCCUGAUGCAGCCAUGCCGCGUGUAUGAAGAAGGCCUUCGGGUUGUAAAGUACUUUCAGCGGGGAGGAAGGGAGUAAAGUUAAUACCUUUGCUCAUUGACGUUACCCGCAGAAGAAGCACCGGCUAACUCCGUGCCAGCAGCCGCGGUAAUACGGAGGGUGCAAGCGUUAAUCGGAAUUACUGGGCGUAAAGCGCACGCAGGCGGUUUGUUAAGUCAGAUGUGAAAUCCCCGGGCUCAACCUGGGAACUGCAUCUGAUACUGGCAAGCUUGAGUCUCGUAGAGGGGGGUAGAAUUCCAGGUGUAGCGGUGAAAUGCGUAGAGAUCUGGAGGAAUACCGGUGGCGAAGGCGGCCCCCUGGACGAAGACUGACGCUC